rnacentral:rRNA from 1 species
ACGCUCGACACCUACGGGGGGCAGCAGUGGGGAAUAUUGCACAAUGGGGGAAACCCGUGAUGCAGCGACGCCGCGUGAGCGAAGAAGUAUUUCGGUAUGUAAAGCUCUAUCAGCAGGGAAGAAACUGACGGUACCUGACUAAGAAGCACCGGCUAAAUACGUGCCAGCAGCCGCGGUAAUCUGAGGCGGGCGUGGCGAAGGC